ACUGAAUGUCAGAUGCAAGUUACGACCGACGCGAUAUAGAUUUCCUGACUGGUAGUAGCACACUGUCAUCUCGGAUUCCAUCACCUCGCCCAGCAAAGGAGACACUGUUGAUCCUGCUUUCGAGCGUUUCGUGCCUCAUUUGACAGCAAAUUACUGAGAAGGCUGAAUUCAGUGAUAGCUUUCUGUCCUGAAUCUGCAACAUAUUUUCAGCCUUCUGAAAGUUUUUUUUUUUUUUUUUAUUUUCCCCUAAACAAGUAACAAAUAAAUUGAGAGAAACAUUGGAAACACAGUACAGAACCAGAAAUCUGGCUUCCCAAUUUUGUACUGCUGAGGAUGUCCUGUGUGUACCUGCUCUGGUGCUGCAACCACAUGGUAAGUCUGUCCCUACCUACAUGUGGAUAUGUUUUGGUUUGGGCACCACUAACGCCAAGAGGAGAGCUCAUGCCCUCACGCCAUCUCCAGCCUCCUCUGCAGACGUGAGAAAGACCAAACAACAGAGGCACAUGCUAUGACUCAUGCCAAAGAAGACGAACAUCCUCCACAG